GAUGAACGCUGGCGGCGUGCCUAAUACAUGCAAGUCGAGCGAAUGGAUUGAGAGCUUGCUCUUAUGAAGUUAGCGGCGGACGGGUGAGUAACACGUGGGUAACCUGCCCAUAAGACUGGGAUAACUCCGGGAAACCGGGGCUAAUACCGGAUAACAUUUUGAACCGCAAGGCUCGAAAUUGAAAUGCGGCUUAGGCGGUCACUUAUGGAUGGACCCGCGUCGCAUUAGCGAGUUGGUGAGGUAAAGGCUCACCAAGGCAACGAUCAGGAGCUGGUCUGAGAGGACGAUCAGCCACACUGGGACUGAGACACGGCCCAGACUCCUACGGGAGGCAGCAGUAGGGAAUCUUCCGCAAUGGACGAAAGUCUGACGGAGCAACGCCGCGUGAGUGAUGAAGGCUUUCGGGUCGUAAAACUCUGUUGUUAGGGAAGAACAAGUGCUAGUUGAAUAAGCUGGCACCUUGACGGUACCUAACCAGAAAGCCACGGCUAACUACGUGCCAGCAGCCGCCGUAA
rnacentral:rRNA from 1 species